AGAGUUUGAUCCUGGCUCAGGAUGAACGCUAGCUACAGGCUUAACACAUGCAAGUCGAGGGGAAACGACAUCGAAAGCUUGCUUUUGAUGGGCGUCGACCGGCGCACGGGUGAGUAACGCGUAUCCAACCUGCCCACCACUUGGGGAUAACCUUGCGAAAGUAAGACUAAUACCCAAUGACGUCUCUAGAAGACAUCUGAAAGAGAUUAAAGAUUUAUCGGUGAUGGAUGGGGAUGCAUCUGAUUAGCUUGUUGGCGGGGUAACGCCACAAGGCGACGAUCAGUAGGGUUCUGAGAGGAAGGUCCCCCANAUUGGAACUGAGACACGGUCCAAACUCCGUACGGGAGGCA
rnacentral:rRNA from 1 species